rnacentral:lncRNA from 1 species
GGCUGGGAGAAGGUGGGCCUGUGUGGGGCCAGCUAUGCUUGCCUGGCGCGGCAGAAGGGCUCGGGUUACUAUCCCAAGACGGCCCGAGUCAUUUAGGGCAAGGACCAGGGCCCGCUGGGCCACACGCGCGUAUUGUGGCAGGAGGGAGCCCAGGCCCAAGCCGUAUUCGUCGGCGGGCAGGAGGGAGGUCCGGGUGGGGAAGCUGCGGGGGAGUCCGUAGCAGCGUUUUGCAAAACCAGCCAGGGUAGUAGUGUCGAGCGUUGUUAUGUCAUGUUUUGUGAAGGGCAUUGCUGCGAAUCCAUAUGCAACUGUGGUGUGCACGCACUGUUGUAUCAUGCGCAGGCGUUGUGCCAGUGUCGCCAGGGAUGUGGCAAUGGCUGUGCCCUUGUCCUUCACAAUCUCGGUGACUCUUGCGACAUGUGCCGACCAGUCCAGCGAGAACGUGAGCUGCACUCCCAGGUACUUGUACGGCUGGGUCGGGGGGAAGUACGGGACAGGGGUCGUGCCAAUCUUAAUUGUGUUGGUCAUGUUGCGGCGCAUGGUGGCGAGGGUAGCUUUUCCUGUGGGCCCGUCAAGGUUGGGGUCCGAGCGAGAUUUGUCGUGCCAGAUGGCGGUGGUGGCACACUUGGUGUGAUUGACACGCAGGCUCGCCCACUCGGCGUAAGAUGCGAUUUUGUCACAUUGAACCUGCAGGUCGUCGAGCGAGUUGGUGAGCGCCGCCAGGUCGUCUGCGUACGCGGCGGCACUGCAAUGGUAUUGCAGGUUUUCGCUGGGGGUCAGGCAGCCGUAGUGGUAGCCCCGUCCGCCCGCAUGGAGCCAGCGGACAAGAGGUUCCAUGAACAGAAUAAAGAGCACAGGUGAGAGUGUAUCCCCUUCCCUACCGUUCCAGCCCCUAUUAAACCAUCGGUUAAUCGCUGGUUACCCAGCGGUUAUCCCGGGAGGAAUGGCCGGUUUGGCACUCAGGUUACCAUCGGUUUAUUUGGGCUUGAGGCCGCAGACCGACGGUUAAUAGACCGCCUCACUGGUUACCAGCGGUUAACAGACCGCGUGGUAACCAGUGUCGGACCAACUGGUUACCGUGCAGUGACCGCUUGGUUACCGUGCUGCGGCCCAGGCCCGCCCAGCUGCCGCCUGCCGCCCAGCCUCCACCCAGCCCCCUCCCAGGCCCGCCCAGCCCCCGCCCAGGCCCGCCCAGCCCGCCUGCCAGCCUGGGUUUAGGGUUGUUUAUUGUGGCCUGUAAAGUGUCUCCUUUACAUGAUGCCACCUUGAUAUACAAGCCUCGCCCUAGCAGUGACCACACACAUCAGCCUGCUGCAUUUUGUACCAAGUGCCCUCACCAACCCAUGUCAACUGCCUUAAAACUAAUAUAAAUAAGUAUGUAAACAUCCCGAAGGUCACCUGCCUUGUGUUCCCAGUCCAACUCACCAACAACACCAUACUCAGUUAGCCCUCUGCUUCCCUACUCCUUGGCACUCUCCAGCUGAGUCUCCGUGCAUUCAAAGCCCACCACAGUCUUGCUCUCCUGGUCUGCCACUGUCUACAACACUAUAUUACGUCUGUGCCAUUAACCCAAGCCUGUCAUAUGAUGUCUAAAUGGUAUGAAUGUGUCAAACGUGCAACAACAACCACUGGCGUGUCUGCUGGGCAUGACGUCUCCCACCACCUUGACACCCGUCUCCACUGCAGUCGGCACAUCACCCGCCUCCACAGCAGCCGCCACUGGUGCCACCGCGCCCGUCUCCAACUCUAGUGCCGGACAGCUCGUGUCAUGCUAGCUCCUGUAGUUCUGCCUCCACUGGCUGCACCUGCAUGCACGCGUGCACACAUGUGAACACACCCUGCACUCCUGCC